UAAUAGUGUAUAUUAAAGUUGUUGCAGUUAAAAAGCUCGUAGUUGAAUGUUGGCGUCGAACGAGCGGUCAGCUUCGGCUGUACUGCUCUCUCGACUCCUUCCUUCUGUGGACUACGUCGCACUUUACUGUGUGGCGCUAGGACGCAGAUCGUUUACUGUGAAAAAAUUAGAGUGUUCAAAGCAGGCCGUACGCUUGAAUACAUUAGCAUGGAAUAAUGGAAUAGGACGUCGGGCCUAUUUUGUUGGUUCUAGGACCGUCGUAAUGAUUAAUAGGGACAGUUGGGGCCGUUUAUAUUCCGUAGUCAGAGGUGAAAUUCUUGGAUUUACGGAAGAUAAACUACUGCGAAAGCAUUCGGCAAGGAUGUUUUCGUUA
rnacentral:rRNA from 1 species